GCGUGCCAGAUUCCUUACCCAUCAGAUGUGAACAUUGGUCUGAGUGGCUAUAAAGGAGCAAAAGUAAAACUGUGAUGGACAUGAAUUCUUUUGUUUCAUACAAGUUGGUUUCAGACAGAC
rnacentral:snoRNA from 1 species